UACGGAGGGUGCAAGCGUUGUUCGGAAUUAUUGGGCGUAAAGGGCAGGUAGGUGGUCUUGAAAGUCUACUGUGAAAUCCCUGAGCUUAACUCAGGAAGUGCGGUGGAUACUCCAAGACUAGAGUGCUGGAGGGGUGCGUGGAAUUCCCGGUGUAGCGGUGAAAUGCGCAGAUAUCGGGAGGAACACCGGUGGCGAAGGCGGUUCUCUGGGCCUGACCUGACGCUGAGGAGCGAAAGCGUGGGGAGCGAACAGG
rnacentral:rRNA from 1 species